GAUGAACGCUGGCGGCGUGCCUAAUACAUGCAAGUCGAGCGAACAGAUGAGGAGCUUGCUCCUCUGACGUUAGCGGCGGACGGGUGAGUAACACGUGGAUAACCUACCUAUAAGACUGGGAUAACUUCGGGAAACCGGAGCUAAUACCGGAUAAUAUAUUGAACCGCAUGGUUCAAUAGUGAAAGACGGUUUUGCUGUCACUUAUAGAUGGAUCCGCGCCGCAUUAGCUAGUUGGUAAGGUAACGGCUUACCAAGGCAACGAUGCGUAGCCGACCUGAGAGGGUGAUCGGCCACACUGGAACUGAGACACGGUCCAGACUCCUACGGGAGGCAGAAGUAGGGAAUCUUCCGCAAUGGGCGAAAGCCUGACAGAGCAACGCCGCGUGAGUGAUGAAGGUCUUCGGAUCGUAAAACUCUGUUAUUAGGGAAGAACAAAUGUGUAAGUAACUAUGCACGUCUUGACGGUACCUAAUCAGAAAGCCACGGCUAACUACGUG
rnacentral:rRNA from 1 species